CCUACGGGUGGCAGCAGUGGGGAAUAUUGGGCAAUGGAGGCAACUCUUACCCAGCAAUGCCGCGUGAAUGAAGAAGGUCUUCGGAUUGUAAAGUUCUUUAAUUGGGGACGAAAAACAUGACGGUACCCAAGGAAUAAGCCACGGCUAACUACGUGCCAGCAGCCGCGGUAAUACGUAGGUGGCAAGCGUUAUCCGGAUUUACUGGGUGUAAUGGGCGUGUAGGCGGGACUGCAAGUCAGAUGUGAAAACCACGGGCUCAACCUGUGGCCUGCAUUUGAAACUGUAGUUCUUGAGUACUGGAGAGGCAGACGGAAUUCCUAGUGUAGCGGUGAAAUGCGUAGAUAUUAGGAGGAACACCAGUGGCGAAGGCGAUCUGCUGGACAGCAACUGACGCUGAGGCGCGAAAGCGUGGGGAGCAAACAGGAUUAGAUACCCUUGUAGUC
rnacentral:rRNA from 1 species